ACGGGAGGCAGCAGUGGGGAAUAUUGGUCAAUGGACGGAAGUCUGAACUAGCCAUGCCGCGUGAAGGAAGAAUGCCCUAUGGGUUGUAAACUUCUUUUAUCUGGGAGCAAUAAGCACUAUGCGUAGUGUGAUGAGAGUACCAGAGGAAUAAGCAUCGGCUAACUCCGUGCCAGCAGCCGCGGUAAUACGGAGGAUGCAAGCGUUAUCCGGAUUUAUUGGGUUUAAAGGGUGCGUAGGCGGACGCGCAAGUCAGUGGUGAAAUAUGUCGGCUCAACCGGCAGGCUGCCAUUGAUACUGCGCGACUAGAGUCCAAACGGCGCCGGCGGAAUAUGUCAUGUAGCGGUGAAAUGCUUAGAUAUGACAUAGAACACCGAUCGCGAAGGCAGCUGGCGAGGAUGCGACUGACGCUGAGGCACGAAGGCGUGGGGAUCAAACAGGAUUAGAUACCCUGGUA
rnacentral:rRNA from 1 species